UUAAGCGACUAAGCGUACACGGUGGAUGCCCUGGCAGUCAGAGGCGAUGAAGGGCGUGCUAAUCUGCGAUAAGCGCCGGUAAGGUGAUAUGAACCGUUAUAACCGGCGAUACCCGAAUGGGGAAACCCAGUGUGAUUCGUCACACUAUCGUUAACUGAAUCCAUAGGUUAAUGAGGCGAACCGGGGGAACUGAAACAUCUAAGUACCCCGAGGAAAAGAAAUCAACCGAGAUUCCCCCAGUAGCGGCGAGCGAACGGGGAGGAGCCCAGAGCCUGAAUCAGCAUGUGUGUUAGUGGAAGCGUCUGGAAAGGCGCGCGAUACAGGGUGACAGCCCCGUACACAAAAGCGCAUGUGCUGUGAGCUCGAUGAGUAGGGCGGGACACGUGGUAUCCUGUCUGAAUAUGGGGGGACCAUCCUCCAAGGCUAAAUACUCCUGACUGACCGAUAGUGAACCAGUACCGUGAGGGAAAGGCGAAAAGAACCCCGGCGAGGGGAGUGAAAAAGAACCUGAAACCGUGUACGUACAAGCAGUGGGAGCCCCACCACCAAAGCAUUCUCUGGUGUUGAAGGCCCUGCAAAGCAGCAUCGCGGUGGCGGAGCGUCGUUUGCGACGCCCAACACACAAAACAAGCGGUGAGUGCUUUGGGGUGGGGUGACUGCGUACCUUUUGUAUAAUGGGUCAGCGACUUAUAUUCUGUAGCAAGGUUAACCGUAUAGGGGAGCCGUAGGGAAACCGAGUCUUAACCGGGCGUUAAGUUGCAGGGUAUAGACCCGAAACCCGGUGAUCUAGCCAUGGGCAGGUUGAAGGUUGGGUAACACUAACUGGAGGACCGAACCGACUAAUGUUGAAAAAUUAGCGGAUGACCUGUGGCUGGGGGUGAAAGGCCAAUCAAACCGGGAGAUAGCUGGUUCUCCCCGAAAGCUAUUUAGGUAGCGCCUCGUGAACUCAUCUCCGGGGGUAGAGCACUGUUUCGGCUAGGGGGCCAUCCCGGCUUACCAACCCGAUGCAAACUGCGAAUACCGGAGAAUGUUAUCACGGGAGACACACGGCGGGUGCUAACGUCCGUCGUGAAGAGGGAAACAACCCAGACCGCCAGCUAAGGUCCCAAAGUCAUGGUUAAGUGGGAAACGAUGUGGGAAGGCCCAGACAGCCAGGAUGUUGGCUUAGAAGCAGCCAUCAUUUAAAGAAAGCGUAAUAGCUCACUGGUCGAGUCGGCCUGCGCGGAAGAUGUAACGGGGCUAAACCAUGCACCGAAGCUGCGGCAGCGACGCUGAUGCGUUGUUGGGUAGGGGAGCGUUCUGUAAGCCUGUGAAGGUGGCCUGUGAGGGUUGCUGGAGGUAUCAGAAGUGCGAAUGCUGACAUAAGUAACGAUAAAGCGGGUGAAAAGCCCGCUCGCCGGAAGACCAAGGGUUCCUGUCCAACGUUAAUCGGGGCAGGGUGAGUCGACCCCUAAGGCGAGGCCGAAAGGCGUAGUCGAUGGGAAACGGGUUAAUAUUCCCGUACUUGGUGUUACUGCGAAGGGGGGACGGAGAAGGCUAUGUUGGCCGGGCGACGGUUGUCCCGGUUUAAGCGUGUAGGUGUGUGUUCCAGGUAAAUCCGGUUCACUUUAACACUGAGGCGUGAUGACGAGGCACUACGGUGCUGAAGCAACAAAUGCCCUGCUUCCAGGAAAAGCCUCUAAGCAUCAGGUAACAUCAAAUCGUACCCCAAACCGACACAGGUGGUCAGGUAGAGAAUACCAAGGCGCUUGAGAGAACUCGGGUGAAGGAACUAGGCAAAAUGGUGCCGUAACUUCGGGAGAAGGCACGCUGACACGUAGGUGAAGUGAUUUACUCAUGGAGCUGAAGUCAGUCGAAGAUACCAGCUGGCUGCAACUGUUUAUUAAAAACACAGCACUGUGCAAACACGAAAGUGGACGUAUACGGUGUGACGCCUGCCCGGUGCCGGAAGGUUAAUUGAUGGGGUCAGCGCAAGCGAAGCUCCUGAUCGAAGCCCCGGUAAACGGCGGCCGUAACUAUAACGGUCCUAAGGUAGCGAAAUUCCUUGUCGGGUAAGUUCCGACCUGCACGAAUGGCGUAAUGAUGGCCAGGCUGUCUCCACCCGAGACUCAGUGAAAUUGAACUCGCUGUGAAGAUGCAGUGUACCCGCGGCAAGACGGAAAGACCCCGUGAACCUUUACUAUAGCUUGACACUGAACAUUGAGCCUUGAUGUGUAGGAUAGGUGGGAGGCUUUGAAGUGUGGACGCCAGUCUGCAUGGAGCCGACCUUGAAAUACCACCCUUUAAUGUUUGAUGUUCUAACGUGGACCCGUAAUCCGGGUUGCGGACAGUGUCUGGUGGGUAGUUUGACUGGGGCGGUCUCCUCCUAAAGAGUAACGGAGGAGCACGAAGGUUGGCUAAUCCUGGUCGGACAUCAGGAGGUUAGUGCAAUGGCAUAAGCCAGCUUGACUGCGAGCGUGACGGCGCGAGCAGGUGCGAAAGCAGGUCAUAGUGAUCCGGUGGUUCUGAAUGGAAGGGCCAUCGCUCAACGGAUAAAAGGUACUCCGGGGAUAACAGGCUGAUACCGCCCAAGAGUUCAUAUCGACGGCGGUGUUUGGCACCUCGAUGUCGGCUCAUCACAUCCUGGGGCUGAAGUAGGUCCCAAGGGUAUGGCUGUUCGCCAUUUAAAGUGGUACGCGAGCUGGGUUUAGAACGUCGUGAGACAGUUCGGUCCCUAUCUGCCGUGGGCGCUGGAGAACUGAGGGGGGCUGCUCCUAGUACGAGAGGACCGGAGUGGACGCAUCACUGGUGUUCGGGUUGUCAUGCCAAUGGCACUGCCCGGUAGCUAAAUGCGGAAGAGAUAAGUGCUGAAAGCAUCUAAGCACGAAACUUGCCCCGAGAUGAGUUCUCCCUGAGACUUAAAGUCUCCUGAAGGAACGUUGAAGACGACGACGUUGAUAGGCCGGGUGUGUAAGCGCAGCGAUGCGUUGAGCUAACCGGUACUAAUGAACCGUGAGGCUUAACCUU
rnacentral:rRNA from 1 species